UACAGAGGUCCCAAGCGUUGUUCGGAUUCACUGGGCGUAAAGGGUGCGUAGGUGGUGAGGUAAGUCGGAUGUGAAAGCUCCGAGCUCAACUCGGAAAUGGCAUUGGAAACUACCUUGCUAGAGGGUUUGAGGGGGGACUGGAAUACUUGGUGUAGCAGUGAAAUGCGUAGAUAUCAAGUAGAACACCAGUGGCGAAGGCGAGUCCCUGGAAAACUCCUGACACUGAGGCACGAAAGCUAGGGGGAGCAAACAGG
rnacentral:rRNA from 1 species